CAUUCACGGAGAGUUUGAUCCUGGCUCAGGACGAACGCUGGCGGCGUGCUUAACACAUGCAAGUCGAACGAUGAACCACUUCGGUGGGGAUUAGUGGCGAACGGGUGAGUAACACGUGGGCAAUCUGCCCUGCACUCUGGGACAAGCCCUGGAAACGGGGUCUAAUACCGGAUACAACCACUGACCGCAUGGUCGGGUGGUGGAAAGCUCCGGCGGUGCAGGAUGAGCCCGCGGCCUAUCAGCUUGUUGGUGAGGUAGUGGCUCACCAAGGCGACGACGGGUAGCCGGCCUGAGAGGGCGACCGGCCACACUGGGACUGAGACACGGCCCAGACUCCUACGGGAGGCAGCAGUGGGGAAUAUUGCACAAUGGGCGAAAGCCUGAUGCAGCGACGCCGCGUGAGGGAUGACGGCCUUCGGGUUGUAAACCUCUUUCAGCAGGGAAGAAGCGAAAGUGACGGUACCUGCAGAAGAAGCGCCGGCUAACUACGUGCCAGCAGCCGCGGUAAUACGUAGGGCGCAAGCGUUGUCCGGAAUUAUUGGGCGUAAAGAGCUCGUAGGCGGCUUGUCACGUCGGUUGUGAAAGCCCGGGGCUUAACCCCGGGUCUGCAGUCGAUACGGGCAGGCUAGAGUUCGGUAGGGGAGAUCGGAAUUCCUGGUGUAGCGGUGAAAUGCGCAGAUAUCAGGAGGAACACCGGUGGCGAAGGCGGAUCUCUGGGCCGAUACUGACGCUGAGGAGCGAAAGCGUGGGGAGCGAACAGGAUUAGAUACCCUGGUAGUCCACGCCGUAAACGGU
rnacentral:rRNA from 1 species